CCCCUAGAUGUUCUGGGCCGCACGCGCGCUACACUGAACAGUUCAACAAGUCUUAACCUUGGCCGAUAGGUCUGGGUAAUCUUUGAACGCUGUUCGUGAUUGGGAUAGACCUUUGCAAUUAUGGGUCUUCAACGAGGAAUUCCUAGUAAACGCAAGUCAUCAGCUUGCAUUGAUUACGUCCCUGCCCUUUGUACACACCGCCCGUCGCACCUACCGAUUGAAUGGUCCGGUGAAAUCUCGGGACGGCGGCUUGGUCGCUUGCGUCCGACUGCUGAAACUUGAUUAAACCAUAUCACUUAGAGGAAGGUAAAGUCGUAACA
rnacentral:rRNA from 1 species